GGCACGAGCCCUCGAGGCGCGUGACCCGAGGUGUGAUCGGAGGAGAAGCGGCGCCAAGGUGGCAUUAUCGACGUGGCUCUAGGCCAGGAAGGUUGCAGCACCAGCUUCGUUCUGGCGACGGGACCCAUGGAGGUUCGGGCGGGCCCGCGGCGCUGGCGACCCAGGGUGUAGCCGUCGACCUCGGCGACGUUCGAGCGAGGCUCCCUAGACCUGCUGCAGCCUCCCACGGCCCUGCCGGGACACUCCAGGAACUGGAUCCCCCUUCUUCGGCAGACCAGCAUGGACGAUAGUCCCCGGAGCUUCUCGUCGGCACACGGAGAGGUAGCGGCGGAGCCCGGUGUUAGGCAAAGCCAGGCAGGCCUAUGUGACACGUCACCAACAUAGUUCGGGGCGCCGGCAUCCGAGACGGAGGAGCUGGCCGGCCGAUGCCAAGGAAGUCAAACUUACGGAGUCGGCGGGAGCACCGAUGUCUCUACACGAACCCUUCCCGUCAUGGCUGUGGCAUCCACUGUGGCCGAAGACAUCUCGGGCGUACCGAGGGUCGUUGUGACAAGUGCGACUGCGACGAGUUCCGGCUCACUGUGGAGCUUAUGAGCCAUGAACGAAUGCCGCUUGGGUGGUGCAUAUUAUGAGGACAUUCACCAGUCGCGCAUGGAUCAUUUACAGAGGCACAAGAGCUUGGCAACAGGUCUCCACGAGGCCCAUACAUCUUGAAAGAGAAUGGCAACUUAAAAAUUGCCUGCAAGGAAAACAUUCUGGCUUUACCACCUUCAUCAUCACCUGAAAAGCAGUCAGCCUCCUGUUGACUGUAUAUUUUAUUUUAGGCUUGUCAUACCCAUACGCUUUUUGGACAGUUUUUGGGACUUGUGCAGACAGUUGUUGUGAAGGGUGAGCCAUUUGGCAGUGGCUUGAUGUCGUUUAAGGUAGUCUCUGUUGAAUAACAUGAAGCAGUCAGACCUAAUAUUCACGUGCUAAAUGUUUGGUAGGUAGAAGCGACAUGUCAGCUGCAAAACUGUGAAGUUGUGCCUUCUUUUAUGAUUUUUUAUCACCAGGGCAAAGCGCCGGCUGUAUGUUUCAAGGCUGGCUUGCAUUUUUCAAGGCUAAGUUGUUCAGUUAUUUAAAAUUUUCUCACUUGUUUUCCAGAAUGUCUUACCAUUGUAUUUCGCUGUUGCCUUGUUGAAUCUUUAAAAUGUGUAACAUGCUUCCAACUACUUUGUGCAUAAAAUUGUAUAAACAUUUACACUAACUUUUAUGGUAAUAUUUGGGAUGAGUUAUCCCAAACUACAUAAUGCUGGGGCAAGUAAUCUGCCUCAAGUGGAAGGCUUUUUCAGGGUGCUUAUAAAGUGUUUUGGUCACGAUUAGCUUUGUAUUAUAGGUACAUCUGUGAUCAGCCAACUGUAUUGUUUCUAGUGUUCAUAUCUUUUGUGAUAUUUGGCACGUGUUUCUGACAAGUUUUUUGUGAGCAAAUAUUCCAUUGUUUAUUUUGACUUGCAGUGUCUUUUCCCUUUAAUAACUCGUCCACUACAUUCUCCAUUGGUCUUGUGAUAAUCCAACUGUACAAGCCUAUGGUUUUAUGCCUUUUUCGUAUAAUUUUAGAGUACUGAAUUCUUUUGGAACGGGGGUGC